rnacentral:rRNA from 1 species
GCGUUGAUCAUCUGUUACUACUAUCGACUCCUACUUGGUGGGGUCGAGUUGAAAACCCCAAUCCGAACUGAGACCGGCUUUUAGGGAUUCGCUCCGCCUUACAGCAUCCCAGCCCUUUGUACCGGUCAUUGUAGCAUGCGNGAAGCCCUGGACAUAACGGGCAUGAUGACUUGACUUCAUCCCCACCUUCCUCCGAGUUGACCCCGGCCGUCUCCUAUGAGUCCCCAUCAGCCCGAAGGGCAUGCUGGCAACAUAGAACGAGGGUUGCGUUCGUUGCGGGACUUAACCCAACAUCUCACGACACGAGCUGACGACAGCCAUGCACCACCUGUACACCGACAAAAAGGGGCCAUAUCUCUACUGUUUUCCGGUGUAUGUCAAACCCAGGUAAGGUUCUUCGCGUUGCAUCGAACUAAUCCGCACGCUCCGCCGCUAGUGCGGGCCCCUGUCAAUUCCUUUGAGUUUUAGCCUUGCGGCCGUACUCCCCAGGUGGNGUGCUUAAUGCGUUAGCUGCGGCACGGAACCCAUGGAAUAUGCCCCACACCUAGCGCCCAACGGUUACNGUGUGGAUUACCAGGGUAUCUAAUCCUGCUCGCUCCCCACACUUUCGCUCCUCAGUGUCAGGCAAUGCCCAGAGAACCGCCUUCGUCACCGGUGUUUCCUCCUGAUAUCUGCUCAUUUCACCGUCUUCUCCAGGAAUUUCCGUUCUCCCUUGCAUAC